rnacentral:rRNA from 1 species
UACGGGGGGAGCAAGCGUUGUUCGGAUUUACUGGGCGUAAAGGGCGCGUAGGCGGCCAGCACAAGUCAGUUGUGAAAUCUCCGAGCUUAACUCGGAAAGGUCAACUGAUACUGUGCGGCUAGAGUGCGGAAGGGGCAACUGGAAUUCUUGGUGUAGCGGUGAAAUGCGCAGAUAUCGGGAGGAACACCAAUGGCGAAGGCAGCUCGCUGGGACGGUACUGACGCUGAGACGCGAAAGCGUGGGGAGCAAACAGG